rnacentral:rRNA from 1 species
AGAGCGAACGCUGGCGGCAGGCCUAAUACAUGCAAGUCGAACGGACCCUUCGGGGUUAGUGGCGGACGGGUGAGUAACACGUGGGAACGUGCCCUUUGGUUCGGAACAACUCAGGGAAACUUGAGCUAAUACCGAAUGUGCCCCCAUCCUUAAACAAGAUGGGUGGGAAAGAUUUAUCGCCAUUGGAGCGGCCCGCGUCUGAUUAGCUAGUUGGUGAGGUAAAGGCUCACCAAGGCGACGAUCAGUAGCUGGUCUGAGAGGAUGAUCAGCCACACUGGGACUGAGACACGGCCCAGACUCCUACGGGAGGCAGCAGUAGGGAAUCUUGCGCAAUGGGCGAAAGCCUGACGCAGCCAUGCCGCGUGAAUGAUGAAGGUCUUAGGAUUGUAAAAUUCUUUCAGCGGGGACGAUAAUGACGGUACCCGCAGAAGAACGCCCCGGCUAACUUCGUGCCAGCAGCCGC